UUUUAAUUAAGGUUUAAAAUUGAUUAGUAAGUUUUAUAUCUGAAAUUCAACAGAUUUGGCGGUAUUUUAUUCUUUUUAGAGGAACAUGUUUUUUAAUUGACAGUCCACAAAAAUCUUACUUAAUUUGAAAUUUAUUGUAUACCUCCGUCAUAAAAUUAAUUUAUUAGAAUAUUUUUAAGAUUUUAUUUAAAGAAUGUCAGGUCAAGGUGCAUAUAAUGAUUAAGUUAAAAUGUGUUACUUUUUUAAAAAUUUUGAAUUUUUUUAUGAAAUUUAAUUAAUGAAAUUGGAUUUAAAAGUAAGUUUAUAUAAUUAAUAUAAGCUGUAAUUGUUUUAAAAUAUGUA
rnacentral:rRNA from 1 species